rnacentral:tRNA from 1 species
UAUAGUUUAACAAAAACACUAGGCAGUGGCCC